UACGUAGGGUGCGAGCGUUAAUCGGAAUUACUGGGCGUAAAGCGUGCGCAGGCGGUGCUGUAAGACCGAUGUGAAAUCCCCCGGGCUUUAACCUGGGAACUGCAUUGGUGACUGCAGCGCUGGAGUAUGGCAGAGGGGGGGUGGAAUUCCACGUGUAGCAGUGAAAUGCGUAGAGAUGUGGAGGAACACCGAUGGCGAAGGCAGCCCCCCUGGGCCAAUACUGACGCCUCAUGCACGAAAGCGUGG
rnacentral:rRNA from 1 species